AGAGUUUGAUCACUGGCUCAGGGAUGAACGCUAGCGGGAGGCCUAACACAUGCAAGCCGAGCGGUAUUCUUCUUCGGAAGAGAGAGAGCGGCGUACGGGUGCGGAACACGUGUGCAACCUGCCUUAUCUGGGGGAUAGCCUUUCGAAAGGAAGAUUAAUACCCCAUAAUAUAUUUGAUGGCAUCAUUAGAUAUUGAAAACUCCGGUGGAUAGAGAUGGGCACGCGCAAGAUUAGAUAGUUGGUGGGGUAACGGCCCACCAAGUCGAUGAUCUUUAGGGGCCUGAGAGGGUGAUCCCCCACACUGGUACUGAGACACGGACCAGACUCCUACGGGAGGCAGCAGUGAGGAAUAUUGGACAAUGGGUGAGAGCCUGAUCCAGCCAUCCCGCGUGAAGGAAUAAGGUCCUAUGGAUUGUAAACUUCUUUUCUACAGGGAUAAACCUAUUUACGUGUAAAUAGCUGAAGGUACUGUAGGAAUAAGCACCGGCUAACUCCGUG
rnacentral:rRNA from 1 species